rnacentral:rRNA from 1 species
GAUUCCCCUAGUAACGGCGAGUGAAGAGGGAAAAGCCCAGCACCGAAGCCUGCGGCAGGUUUGCUGCUAGGCAAUGUGGUGUUUGGGUCGGCCAGCGGGACUGCCACUCCACUCGAAGUCCAGCAUUGAGUAUGGUCACUGGAUUUGGCCCAGAGAGGGUGAGAGGCCCGUACGAGUGGGGGCGCAGACCAGCAAGGCAGUUCACCAGGCCGGCCUCAGAGUCGGGUUGUUUGAGAAUGCAGCCCAAAGUGGGUGGUAAACUCCAUCCAAGGCUAAAUACUAGCACGAGUCCGAUAGCGAACAAGUACCGUGAGGGAAAGUUGAAAAGUACUCUGAAGAGAGAGUAAACAGUACGUGAAACCGCAUGCAGGUAAACGGGUGGCGUCAAGCUGCGAGCCCGGAGGAUUCAGCUGACUAGGAUGUUGUGUACACGCCUGCGGUGUCUAUCAGCCGGAGUAGAUGUGGUAGUCCACUGGAAGAUGGUGGGUCCGGCCGCCACGAGUGGCUGGGAUGUGAUUGCCGGGUGUGAGCCGGAGCACACUACCCGUCUGUUGGGCUGCCUAGUUAGUGCACUUUCUCUGUGGUGAACACCACGACCGGUGGCAUUGCCAGUCUGCUGUAGUCGAGUUGCGUUGUCGCGAUUCUUGCGAUCGUGGUGGCGUGAUCACAGGCAAACUCCGUAGACGGCGUGGGGCACAUUAGUGCUCUUGCGUGUUAUCGUCUGCGGAUUGCAAAGGGGUGAUUGGCGGUUGUUGUGACCAUCGCCAGUUAUCCUGUGGACUACGGUGGUAGGAAUAGCUGUGCAAGGCACUGGAGUUCUCCGCCUCACACACACGCGCAUUUCGGUGUGCAUGUGUGCGUUUCUGGCACGCGCGUCACAGGCGUGCUGCAUGGUUUGCUGCUUCGGGGUUGCCCGCGGUUGGGUGUGAUUGUCGUGUCGCCUGCGAAAAGUGGGCCCGGCAGUGGCCCGCUCUGGGUUGGCCCAUGUGGUGGUGAUCCGGGUGUCAGAGAUGGUGGGUGAAAUAGUCAGUGGUGCUGUGGUAGACGAGCUACCCGACCCGUCUUGAAACACGGACCAAGGAGUUUAACAUGUGUGCAAGUCAAAGGGUCCUACGAAACCCCUAGGCGCAGUGAAAGUGAAGCCCGGAGUUAGUGUCUGGGUGAGGUGAGAUCCCACCGUUACUCGCAUCAGUUUGGGCUAGCACCAGGCAUAAGAGCGGUGGGCGCAUCACCGGCCCGUCCCAUGAUGUGGUCAUCGGAUGUGCUCGAGGCUGCUGCUGGUAACAGCAGUGGUCUAGGGCUGCGUACUGGUGCGUCAUC